rnacentral:lncRNA from 1 species
AUGUCUCAGCCUCCGGAACCUAGCCUAGAAUUGUACAAGACACCACCAGAAACCUCAGAAAUCAACGAGCAAAACACUGAAACAGAUUGCUUCUCCUCGCUGACUACAAGAUGGCUGCUACCCAUCCUGGGACCCUUCAUUGUCAUCAUCUGUAUGCAGCGCCUUGAUCAAUUUUUUUCCAAGGCUGGAUUCAUCCAGCCACUAACUUCCUCACCUCCCAAAAGCUGAUGAACAGAUAUCCCUACCGGUGUGAGACCCCAACCCCACCUACCAACUCAGCUCCUCCCCCUGACAAUGGCCCCAGUCAGCAUGAAGCUGCUACUUGAGACAGCUCAUGACCUCAUCCCUUAUAACAAGGAGCCGUGAAUGUAAGGCCUAAACCCACCAGGCCUAAGCACAGCAUCCUUCAUCCUUCAGCAGCCUUCUUGGCCCUAGCAGCAGCUCGGAAGGAGGCCUCAGCACUUAGUCCCUCUUCCCAUGUCCUCAGUGAAAGCCUGCUCUCUUUCAUUCCGUGUCGUGGCACUGGUGUAUAGUCACUGGAGACAGUAAACUUCCACUUUA